GAUGAACGCUGGCGGCGUGCUUAACGCAUGCAAGUCGAACGGAAAGGCUCCUGCUUGCAGGGGUACUCGAGUGGCGAACGGGUGAGUAACACGUGGGUGAUCUGCCCUGCACUUCGGGAUAAGCCUGGGAAACUGGGUCUAAUACCGGAUAGGACGAUGGUUUGGAUGCCAUUGUGGAAAGUUUUUUCGGUGUGGGAUGAGCUCGCGGCCUAUCAGCUUGUUGGUGGGGUAAUGGCCUACCAAGGCGUCGACGGGUAGCCGGCCUGAGAGGGUGUACGGCGACAUUGGGACUGAGAUACGGCCCAGACUCCUACGGGAGGCAGCAGUGGGGAAUAUUGCACAAUGGGCGCAAGCCUGAUGCAGCGACGCCGCGUGGGGGAUGACGGCCUUCGGGUUGUAAACUCCUUUCGCUAGGGACGAAGCGCAAGUGACGGUACCUGGAGAAGAAGCACCGGCUAACUACGUG
rnacentral:rRNA from 1 species